rnacentral:rRNA from 1 species
AUGGCGGCCGGUGGCAUGAGCAGGGAGGCGAGGUGGAGCCUGGCCGGCGCGACGGCGCUCGUCACCGGCGGCAGCAAAGGGAUCGGCCACGCGAUCGUGGAGGAGCUGGCGGGGCACGGGGCGCGGGUACACACGUGCGCCCGGAGCGCGGCGGAGCUGGAGGAGUGCCGCCGCCGGUGGGAGGCCAGGGGCCUCCCGGUCACCGUCUCCGUCUGCGACGUCUCCCUGCGCGCACAGAGGGAGCAGCUCGUGGAGACGGUCAAGCAAGUCUUCGACGCCAAGCUCGACAUACUGGUGAACAACGCGGCGCAGGCUCUUGCCAAGGCGGCAGUGGAGUGCACAUCGGAGGAGUACACGCACCUCAUGUCGACCAACCUAGAGCCGUGCUUCCACCUCAGCAAGCUCACGCACCCCUUGCUCCUCGGGGCCUCCAUCGCCGGAGGAGGUAGCAUCGUCAACAUAUCCUCCAUUGGGGGCACGCUUGGGUUCCCGGGCUACGCACUUUACGGUAUCACAAAAGGAGGGAUCAACCAGCUCACGCGGAGCCUUGCUACCGAGUGGGCCCAGAACAAAGUUCGAGUGAAUUGCGUUGCCCCGGGCGUGACCAAGAGUGGCAUGUUAAACAGUGUCGCACCCGACAUUUUAGAGAAGGAGUUGGCGAAGGUUCCGAUGCGGCGGGUAGGCGAGCCAGAGGACGUGGCUGCAGUGGUGUCAUUCCUCUGCAUGCCAGCGGCAUCCUUCGUCACUGGGCAGGUCAUCACCGUCGAUGGUGGUCGAACAAUUAGUGCCUAG